rnacentral:rRNA from 1 species
AGCAGUCGCCGCGGGAAUACAGAGGAUGCAAGCGUUAUCCGGAAUUACUGGGCGUAAAGCGUGCGCAGGCGGUUUUGUAAGACAGGCGUGAAAUCCCCGGGCUCAACCUGGGAAUGGCGCUUGUGACUGCAAAGCUAGAGUGCGGCAGAGGGGGAUGGAAUUCCGCGUGUAGCAGUGAAAUGCGUAGAUAUGCGGAGGAACACCGAUGGCGAAGGCAAUCCCCUGGGCCUGCACUGACGCUCAUGCACGAAAGCGUGGGGAGCAAACAGGAUUAGAGACCCCUGUAGUCCCUGUCUCUUAUAC